UACGUAGGGUGCGAGCGUUAAUCGGAAUUACUGGGCGUAAAGGGCUCGUAGGCGGCCAACUAAGUCGGAUGUGAAAUCCCCAGGCUUAACCUGGGAACUGCAUCCGAUACUGGAUGGCUUGAAUCCGGGAGAGGGAUGCAGAAUUCCAGGUGUAGCGGUGAAAUGCGUAGAUAUCUGGAGGAAUACCGGUGGCGAAGGCGGCAUCCUGGAC
rnacentral:rRNA from 1 species